UACAGAGGUGGCAAGCGUUGUUCGGAAUUACUGGGCGUAAAGGGCGCGUAGGCGGUCCUGUAAGUCUUGUGUGAAAUCCCUCGGCUUAACUGAGGAACUGCACAGGAUACUGCGAGACUUGAGUUCGGGAGAGGGAAGCGGAAUUCCGGGUGUAGCGGUGAAAUGCGUAGAUAUCCGGAGGAACACCGGUGGCGAAGGCGGCUUCCUGGACCGACACUGACGCUGAGGAGCGAAAGCGUGGGGAGCGAACAGG
rnacentral:rRNA from 1 species